AGCAAAAGAAACCAACAGGGAUUGCCCCAGUAACGGCGAGUGAAGCGGCAAGAGCUCAAAUUUGAAAGCUGGCCCCCUCGGGGUCCGCAUUGUAAUUUGCAGAGGAUGCUUCGGGAGUGGCCCCCAUCUAAGUGCUCUGGAACGGGCCGUCAUAGAGGGUGAGAAUCCCGUAUGGGAUGGGGUGUCCGCGACCAUGUGAAGCUCCUUCGACGAGUCGAGUUGUUUGGGAAUGCAGCUCUAAAUGGGUGGUAAAUUUCAUCUAAAGCUAAAUAUUGGCCGGAGACCGAUAGCGCACAAGUAGAGUGAUCGAAAGAUGAAAAGCACUUUGAAAAGAGAGUUAAAAAGCACGUGAAAUUGUUGAAAGGGAAGCGCUUGCGACCAGACUCGCCUGCGGGGUUCAGCCGGUAUUCGUACCGGUGUACUUCCCCGUGGGCGGGCCAGCGUCGGUUUGGGCGGCCGGUCAAAGGCCCUCGGAAUGUAACGCCUCUCGGGGCGUCUUAUAGCCGAGGGUGCCAUGCGGCCAGCCCGGACCGAGGAACGCGCUUCGGCACGGACGCUGGCAUAAUGGUCGUAAGCGAC
rnacentral:rRNA from 1 species